UACAGAGGGUGCAAGCGUUAAUCGGAAUUACUGGGCGUAAAGGGCGCGUAGGCGGCGUUUUAAGUCGGGGGUGAAAGCCUGUGGCUCAACCACAGAAUGGCCUUCGAUACUGGGACGCUUGAGUAUGGUAGAGGUUGGUGGAACUGCGAGUGUAGAGGUGAAAUUCGUAGAUAUUCGCAAGAACACCGGUGGCGAAGGCGGCCAACUGGACCAUUACUGACGCUGAGGCGCGAAAGCGUGGGGAGCAAACAGG
rnacentral:rRNA from 1 species